rnacentral:rRNA from 1 species
GAUGAACGCUGACAGAAUGCUUAACACAUGCAAGUCGAUGGGGAAGUGGUGCUUGCACCAUGGCAACCAUGGCGGACGGGUGAGUAGCGCGUAAGGGACUUACCUGCAGGACUGGGAUAACAGGGGGAAACUCCUGACAAGACCGGAUAAUGUCAUGGAGCUGCAUGGCUUUAUGAUGAAAGGAGACGCCUGCGGAGAGCCUUGCGUCCUAUUAGCUAGUUGGUGAGGUAAUGGCUCACCAAGGCGAAGAUAGGUAGCCGGCCUGAGAGGGUGGACGGCCACAAGGGGACUGAGAUACGGCCCUUACUCCUACGGGAGGCAGCAGUGGGGAAUAUUGGACAAUGGGGGCAACCCUGAUCCAGCAAUUCUGUGUGCACGAAGAAGGUUUUCGGAUUGUAAAGUGCUUUCAGCAGGGAAGAAGUAAGUGACGGUACCUGCAGAAGAAGCGACGGCUAAAUACGUG